UACGAAGGGGGCUAGCGUUGCUCGGAAUCACUGGGCGUAAAGCGCACGUAGGCGGUCUUUUAAGUCAGGGGUGAAAUCCUGGAGCUCAACUCCAGAACUGCCUUUGAUACCGGGAGACUUGAGUCCGGGAGAGGUGAGUGGAACUGCGAGUGUAGAGGUGAAAUUCGUAGAUAUUCGCAAGAACACCAGUGGCGAAGGCGGCUCACUGGCCCGGUACUGACGCUGAGGUGCGAAAGCGUGGGGAGCAAACAGG
rnacentral:rRNA from 1 species